GUGAAAAUUCAGAACAAGAGAGGUUUUGUAAUCAGGUUUGCAGCUGCAGUAACAUGAGUGCAGAAGAUAUCAUUGCUGCAGACCCAUCUUUCUCUUUUCCUGUUUAUUCUGCUGUAUAUGCCAUCGCUCAUGCCUUACACAAUACUUUGCAAUGCGGAUCUGGUGGAUGUAAUGGCAAUAUUACAGUGUACCCACACAUGGUAAGUAUACAAAUAGUUUGAGAAUUGAGUAAUUUGUUCUCACCCUCUGAUUUUUGACCAUUUAUAUUUCUGACAAGCCUACUUGAAAGUGACCAAUCUUAACACAAAAUACAGGCUGGCUUUAGUGAUAAGAAGACAUUAGUAUAACCACAGUAUAAGACAUGUAAAUGAAAAGACUUUUAAUCUUCAACAAUCAAACCUGACUUUUAUCUGUCAAACAUUAGAAAUCAGAUAAUAGAUCCAACCACUCUACUGAUGGCUUCCUAUAGGAUACUUUAAAUAUAACAAAGUUUCAGUUUCAACAAGCCUUUGUCAAGCCUUAUGAGAAAACUCAAUUCUCAAUUCAUUCAAUAUUUUUAAAAACCUUUUUAAUAAACACCUCAUAUGUUCAUUGUGAACACAUGCCACUAAUCUGAACUUUCUGUACCCACAUCAGGUUCUAGCACAGCUGAGGAAGUCAAACUUUACACUUUUAAACCGGAGUAUUGCGUUUGAUGAGAAUGGUGACCCCAAGCACGGAUCGUAUUCCAUCGUUUUCUGGAACCACGGUGGGGAUGCAGAAAAGGUCGGCUUCUAUCAUUAUGACCCAUUGUUGCAUUUCUGCAUCAACAACAGCAAAAUUCAGUGGUACACAACGGGAGAAGUGCCUACUUCACAGUGUUCCCAAGAAUGUUCUGAAGGAUAUUCAAAAAUGUAUGAUGGAAUCCACAAAUGCUGCUUCAAAUGUGAAAUCUGUCCAAAUGGAACAUAUGUCAACAGUACAGGUAAAUUAUAAUACAUCAGAGGAAGACAAUUAGCAGUGCUGUUAUUCUUUAUUGGAUGGGAGUUCAUUUUUAAACUGUUUUUAUACAGUGGGUACGGAAAGUAUUCAGACCCCUUUCAAUUUUUCACUCUUUGUUUCAUUGCAGCCAUUUGCUAAAAUCAAAAAAGUUCAUGUUAUUUCUCAUUAAUGUACACUCAGCACCCCAUCUUGACAGAAAAAAAAAACAGAAAUGUAGAAUUUUUUGCAAAUUUAUUAAAAAAGAAAAACUGAAAUAUCACAUGGUCAUAAGUAUUCAGACCCUUUGCUGUGACACUCAUAUUUAACUCACAUGCUGUCCAUUUCUUCUGAUCCUCCUUGAGGUGGUUUUGCUCCUUCAUUGGAGUCCAGCUGUGUUUAAUUAAACUGAUUGGACUUGAUUAGGAAAGGCACACACCUGUCUAUAUAAGACCUUACAGCUCACAGUGCAUGUCAGAGCAAAUGAGAAUCAUGAGGUCGAAGGAACUGCCCAAGGAGCUCAGAGACAGAAUUGUGGCAAGGCACAGAUCUGACCAAGCUUGCAGGGACAGGACGAC
rnacentral:lncRNA from 15 species